UAUUGGACAAUGGGCGCAAGCCUGAUCCAGCCAUGCCGCGUGGAUGAUGAAGGCCCUACGGCUGUAAAGUCCUUUCGGCGGGGAAGAUAAUGACGGUACCCGCAGAAGAAGCCCCGGCUAACUUCGUGCCAGCAGCCGCGGUAAUACGAAGGGGGCUAGCGUUGCUCGGAAUCACUGGGCGUAAAGCGCACGUAGGCGGACUCUUAAGUCGGUGGUGAAAUCCUGGAGCUCAACUCCAGAACUGCCUUCGAUACUGAGAGUCUCGAGUCCGGGAGAGGUGAGUGGAACUGCGAGUGUAGAGGUGAAAUUCGUAGAUAUUCGCAAGAACACCAGUGGCGAAGGCGGCUCACGGCCCGGUACUGACGCUGAGGUGCGAA
rnacentral:rRNA from 1 species